ACAAAGGUAUUGAAAUAAGACUUUAAUUGAGUGCUAAGAGAAUGGAUUUUCAAAAAAAUUCUUUCUUAAUUUUAAGAAUUGAAGUUAUUUUUUUCUGUGAAGAAACAACAAUAAAAAUUAAAGACAAGAAGACCCUAAGAAUUUUUAUAAAUUUAUUAUAUAAAUAUAUAAUAUAUUUAUUUAAUUGGGGCGAUUUGAAAAUAUUUUAAACUUUUUAAAAACUAAAAGGAUCCAUUAAUAAUGAUUUUAUGAAAGAAAUACUCUAGGGAUAACAGCGUAAUAAUUUUAGAUAGAUCUUAUAGAAAAAAUAGUUUGCGACCUCGAUGUUGGAUUAGGAUUCUUAUUUAAUGAAGAAGUUAAAAAAAGAAGUUUGUUCAACUUUUAAAUUCCUACUUGAUCUG
rnacentral:rRNA from 1 species